GUCCUGGCCGUAAACGUUGGAUACUAGGUGUAGGAGGUAUCGACCCCUUCUGUGCCGCAGCUAACGCACUAAGUAUCCCGCCUGUGGAGUACGACCGCAAGGUUGAAACUCAAAGGAAUUGACGGGGGCCCGCACAAGCGGUGGAGUAUGUGGUUUAAUUCGACGCAACGCGAAGAACCUUACCGAGGCUUGACAUGCACAGGACAGGCGUAGAAAUACGCCCUCCCUUCGGGGUCUGUGCACAGGUGCUGCAUGGCUGUCGU
rnacentral:rRNA from 1 species